CGCCCAUUAGCUCAGUUGGUUAGAGCGUGGUGCUAAUAACGCCAAGGUCGCAGGUUCGAGACCUGCAUGGCCCA
rnacentral:tRNA from 2 species